AUGAACGCUAGCUACAGGCUUAACACAUGCAAGUCGAGGGGCAGCAUGAAGUUUGCUUGCAAACUUUGAUGGCGACCGGCGGAUGGGUGAGUAACGCGUAUCCAACCUGCCCCCUUCCCGGGCACAGCCCUUGGAAACGAGGAUUAACUCCCGAUGGUGUCAGUCAGGCGCAUGCCUUUCUAACCAAAGAUUUAUUGGUAAUGGAUGGGGAUGCGUGACAUUAGGUAGUAGGUGAGGUAACGGCUCACCUAGCCGACGAUGUCUAGGGGUUCUGAGAGGAAGGUCCCCCACACUGGAACUGAGACACGGUCCAGACUCCUACGGGAGGCAGCAGUGAGGAAUAUUGGUCAAUGGCCGAGAGGCUGAACCAGCCAAGUAGCGUGAAGGAUGAAGGUUCUAUGGAUUGUAAACUUCUUUUAUACGGGAAUAACAUCACCUACGUGUAGGUGCCUGCAUGUACCGUAUGAAUAAGCAUCGGCUAACUCCGUG
rnacentral:rRNA from 1 species